GGGCGUAUGGUCUAGAGGUAUGAUACCUGCUUUGGGUGCCUAUCAAUCCAUUGCAGGGGGUCUUCGGUUCGAAUCCGGAUUCGCCCC